rnacentral:rRNA from 1 species
GAGUUCUCCCUGAGACUUAAAGUCUCCUGAAGGAACGUUGAAGACGACGACGUUGAUAGGCCGGGUGUGUAAGCGCAGCGAUGCGUUGAGCUAACCGGUACUAAUGAACCGUGAGGCUUAACCUU